CUGCUCUCUCUUCAGCCCCUAGUGCGGGCAAGUCCCUUAGCAGCUCUUACACUGCAUACCUGUGUCUGAGUACUCCUUUCAUCCAUCGCUCAGCCAGGGUGUGUGGGACAGACCUGGCAGCUGGUGCCUGCUGUGAGAAACACUACAACGGAUUGCAAUGGAACCCUCAAAAAUGAGGGUGAAGAGUCUGCGCCGUCCGAUGCAAAGCUGGAAAACGAGCUGUAGCCGCUACACCUGACAAACCCGUUGCUGCACAUAUAUGUACUCUUCAAUCAACAAGACCUGAUGCAAAAAACAGAAAAGGGGAAGAUGUGAGGGAUCAGUCAGAGUGGUGGGCUCAAGAGUGGACUUAAUGAGGGCUGUCUCAAGGUUCUGUAAUAAAUAAACAGAGUAAGCAGUCACUAACAAUAUUGAUAUGCUGAGUGGAAAAGGUUUCUACGGCUAAUAUUAGGGCUCCAACCUCAGCUCUUUGAGUGCUAGUAAAUCCAGAUAGAGUGAGGGAGUUAUGUGGUUCCCACCAGACAGCUGCUUUUCCAUUUUUACCAGAGCCAUCGGUAAAAAGCAUUAAAGCGUUAGGUAUGGGGGUGUGAACUACCUUUGUAGGCAUAGCUACAGGAAUAUGAGAUAAGAACUGAAGUAGUUUGUCAGCAGGAAGGCCAUGUUCUAUACAGCCCGCAUAAUCAGAGAGUGCUAUCCUGAGGGUCUAGAGGUAGGAGCAGGACUGCUUUGAAUUGUUUUUUACUUAAGGGAAUUCUUAUGACAUCAGGGUCAUAACCUAGCAAUUAUUUGCAUCAUCUGCAGCCUGUAUAGAUGACUUUACUAACUAGCUGGACAUAGCGAGAUAGUGUUUUGGUCCCGGUAUAUGAGCAAAAAACCCACUCUAGGAAGCGUAGCCCUGGGGCCAUCUGUCCUGUUAAUUCUGUUGGGGAAUGAUUAGUAGGAAAAACAAACAAUUGGAAUGAAUAUCGUGGGUCUAUGCAAUCUAGUUGCCUCUGAGAAAUAGCUUGCUCUGUUUCCUGUAUGAAACCCACUUGAUCGUGGUGGAUUAUCUUUUUGAUACCACCUGUUCCCCAAUAACCUAUGGAAAUCAAAAAAAAUUUUUUAAAAUAAAGAACAGUAUCUGGCACACAGCAGGAGUUCAAUAAAUAUUUAAGAAAAGAAAAACUUUUUGUGUAACCAAACACCACCUGUUCCCCAAAAACCUUUUGAAAUAAAAAAAUAAAAUUUUAAA
rnacentral:lncRNA from 1 species